rnacentral:lncRNA from 1 species
CUCAGCUUUUAAGGAAUGGUUUGCCACAUUCCUUUAAAUCGAUGACACGGCCCUCAGUUUCCUUACCCCAGACCUUCCCGUUUACUUUCUUUCAUCCCAUCCAGAGUUUGGAAAAUUUGCUCUUUUUGAUGAUGAGGUCUCUAACAGAUUACAUGAAAGAUAAAAGAGGCUGGCUGCUGCAAAAAUGAUGAACACAACAUAAUAUUUAAUGAACUUCUUCUUGGAAUUAUAUCAUUCCCAUCCAACAGCAGCUAACUUUAAUAUACUUUGGAGAGGAGAAAGGAGGUUGCUGUUUGAGCAGCAUAAUAGAAAUCAAUUGUGCACACAAUUAUCUACAAAUGGUCAAGAAUUAUCAGCAAACCUCACCAAUUCACAGAUUUUAUUAAGAAGCUCAAAAAUCUAUGCCACCAUAGUUAGCAUUUUGAUGAUAAAGAUGAGCCUGGCUGACAGGUGAUGCCUUACAGACAGCAUGGAAGCAAGAAACUUACAGACACCCAGUUUGAAACCAGAAGUGAUGGCUGCAUCUCAAAGGGGCAAACUGUAUAGUUAAUAAGGAAAGAGGA